AAGUCGUAACAAGGUUUCCGUAGGUGAACCUGCGGAAGGAUCAUUACCAAAUCCAAAAUCAACCACUUGUGAACCUGUCUUGUAUUGUCUUUUGGGAAGUUUUGUUGUGAAAACAACAAUUAAUCCUUUAACAAGGAACUUCCCAUUAGGCGCGUGUGUAUUGCUUUGCAAAAAGCAAUGCCACAAACCAAUAUGAACCACAUUUAAACUGUAUCCAUUUGGUUUUUUACACAAAAAACAAAAUGACAACUUUUAACGGUGGAUCUCUUGGCUCAU
rnacentral:misc_RNA from 1 species